CCUACGGGGGGCAGCAGUGGGGAAUAUUGGACAAUGGGGGGAACCCUGAUCCAGCCAUGCCGCGUGUGUGAAGAAGGCCCUCGGGUUGUAAAGCACUUUCAGUGAGGAAGAACGCCUGGUGGUUAAUACCCAUCAGGAAAGACAUCACUCACAGAAGAAGCACCGGCUAACUCCGUGCCAGCAGCCGCGGUAAUACGGAGGGUGCGUGCGUUAAUCGGAAUUACUGGGCGUAAAGCGCGCGUAGGUGGCUUGAUAAGCCGGUUGUGAAAGCCCCGGGCUCAACCUGGGAACGGCAUCCGGAACUGUCAAGCUAGAGUGCAGGAGAGGAAGGUAGAAUUCCCGGUGUAGCGGUGAAAUGCGUAGAGAUCGGGAGGAAUACCAGUGGCGAAGGCGGCCUUCUGGACUGACACUGACACUGAGGUGCGAAAGCGUGGGUAGCAAACAGGAUUAGAUACCCCAGUAGUC
rnacentral:rRNA from 1 species